AACCCAUAUUGUGGACAUGAACUGACAAGAUCCUUGAAUCGCUCCCAAUAUUGGAAGAAUGUUUCAUCUUGUUUUUGGGUGAAGGUCAUAAUCGACUUUCUAAGGGU